rnacentral:rRNA from 1 species
CCUACGGGCGGCAGCAGUGAGGAAUAUUGGUCAAUGGGCGGAAGCCUGAACCAGCCAAGUCGCGUGAGGGAUUAAGGCCCUGCGGGUCGUAAACCUCUUUUGCCGGGGAGCAGAGGUCCGGACGUGUCCGGGCCGGGAGAGUAACCGGAGAAAAAGCAUCGGCUAACUCCGUGCCAGCAGCCGCGGUAAUACGGAGGAUGCGAGCGGUAUACGGAUUUAUUGGGUUAAAGGGGUGCGUAGGCAGGCAUUUAAGCCGGCGGUCAAAUGUCGGGGCUCAACCCCGGCCUGCCGUCGGAAAGGGGUGCCGUGAGUGGGCGAGAAGUAUGCGGAAGGCGUGGUGUAGCGGUGAAAUGCAUAGAUAUCACGCAGAACCCCGAUUGCGAAGGCAGCAUACCGGCGCCCUACUGACGCUGAGGCACGAAAGUGCGGGUAUCGAACAGGAUUAGAUACCCCAGUAGUC